rnacentral:rRNA from 1 species
AUUGAACGCUGGCGGCAUGCUUUACACAUGCAAGUCGAACGGUAACAGGCCGCAAGGUGCUGACGAGUGGCGAACGGGUGAGUAAUGCAUCGGAACGUGCCCAGUCGUGGGGGAUAACGCAGCGAAAGCUGCGCUAAUACCGCAUACGAUCUAUGGAUGAAAGCGGGGGACCGUAAGGCCUCGCGCGAUUGGAGCGGCCGAUGUCAGAUUAGGUAGUUGGUGGGGUAAAGGCUCACCAAGCCAACGAUCUGUAGCUGGUCUGAGAGGACGACCAGCAACACGGGGACUGAGACACGGCCCAGACUCCUACGGGAGGCAGCAGUGGGGAAUUUUGGACAAUGGGCGCAAGCCUGAUCCAGCAAUGCCGCGUGCAGGAAGAAGGCCUUCGGGUUGUAAACUGCUUUUGUACGGAACGAAACAGCUCUGGUUAAUACCUGGGGCUAAUGACGGUACCGUAAGAAUAAGCACCGGCUAACUACGUGCCAGCAGCCGCGGUAACAC